AGCCUUAUAUUCAACAAUGAUAUAAAAUUGCAAAUUUUAAGGUAUAAUAAUUUAUUAAGGCUU
rnacentral:tRNA from 1 species